rnacentral:lncRNA from 1 species
GGGAGAGAGAGCAAUCCUUUAUUUACGUGCAAUAGCAAUGCAGCAAUGCAUGAAUUUAAGAAUGUGGCAAAAAAAAAAGGGGGGGGGGGGGGAGAGGAGGGACUUUUAAUCAUAUGAACUGAGGAUAACUGCAACAGGGAAGAGAAAAGAAGCUCUUGAUUUGGGGAUUGCAGGGUGGGGGUUAGUUUUACAGCAUAGGAAGGUUUGGAUUGCUCCAGCUGCAAUCCAAGCAGUGUAAUAUAUUAAUAUAUAGUCAUGCUUAAUUAUAAUGCAAAGACAAAACAAAACAAAGAAACUGUUUUUUAGCCUAUUAACAGCUUAGAUUCUAAAGUCACUGGAAUGAUUCAUAAUUCCAUGUGCAGAAACAACUGCAAUUACGCUUUAUCUGACUUUUGCUAUAGAAAGGCCAUACCAGUCAAGCACGUGGGGGUAAAAAAAAAAAAAACCAACAAAAGAAAAAAAACCAAGAAGAUAAUUCUAUGCUUCUCUAGAUUUUGCACUUUGAAAACUGGAUAGAUGGGGAAACUUAAGAAAGAGGCUGUGGGUUGUUCUUUAUUUUAUAUAUUUACUUUUUUUAGUUUCGGUUUUGCUGAUCAAACACUUUGUGACUUUUGGAUAGAGGAACGCAAAUGUGUUAUCUCUCUCAUCCCCAUCAGAGAGCAUCCAAUGAGAAAACUGAAAAGGACAUCAGGGCCUCCAUCGGAAAUCGCAGGCCAGCUCCGUUUCUGUGAGGCUGCAGUAUUAGAAGCAGAGGAGUCCUAAGCUUCCUACCCAAGAACACAGGACUGGGAUCAGAGGGAAGCAAGGAAGAACAGAUAAGGAUUGAUGCAAGGGACAGGAGCUUGUAUCCUCUUCCUCACUGUAGUAAGUGCAGUCAUGCUUGAAAUCUCACUCUGCGUAAUCCUCAUCUGGGGGCCAGGGCACUGAAAUGCUGCCGCUUGCUCCUUGGGGGACUGGUGGGAGAACUCGAGAGGCUCGACUUGUCCUGUGGAGGAAGGAGUGAGGUACAGCAGAGAGAUUCCCAAAAGAGGAAAGAGCAGAGACCCAGACCAUGGGUAGCGGCAACUCUGAUAAACUCAAGAAACCAUCAAAAAGAGAAAGGAGCUGGAAGAGAAGGGGCAACCGCCAUAAUACAAGAAUGGUGCUGGAAGUGCACCUCCCUGAACAACCGCACACUAAGGUGAGGGAUGCUGGUACACCCUUCACAGGCAGGAGUAUAUUGAACUCUCCUGGGAAGUCCUUACUCAGAAGCUUGCCUCUGCUUGCCAUCAAUCCCACUUUUUAACCAGGAAGAAGAAAACAAUUCCAGUGAAUUAGACCACUAUUAUACCUUCUCCUUGUCAUCUUAGUAGAAGUAACCACAGCCAUGCUAUUGGCAAUAGCCACAGCCUGAGUAGCAAAGCUCAGCUCUAGAAAAAAGUUCUCUGCUACAGGCUGGCCCAACAGAACCUUAGCAGAAGGGAGCACUGUUUCCUUUACCUUGUGUUUGCCCAAGUAAGGGCUUUGAAACACUGCUCUCUACCUGCACUGAAUUUUUUGUUUCCUUUCUGUCCCACUCUUCCCAAACCUGCCUAUGUUUUGAUCCAGAAUGAUACCAGGGUUAGAUAAGAAAUAAGCAGGGAAAGCAAGUUUAAAAGCAUCAUAAUCCAAUCUGAAAACCCCUGAAUUAGCCUACUUCAAGUGGAGGAAUUUAAAACAGCUCCUCCCUCUCCAGGCUGAUGUCUCCUUUAUAGUCCUUCAGCACUGAUCAAGGUCACCAAACUUGACAGGGCAGUUGAAAAAAACACGCAUGCAUGUCAACUCCUUGAUUGACAAGCCCCUCCUAAAAUCAGUUUAAGACAGCACGUUAAUUUGGGGAUCUGUCAGCUUUGGAAGUGUUCAAACUAGAAUUUUUUGGAAGUAAAAAUACCAAAGGUCCAAACAGCGAUGCUCUGUGAGAAUUUGAAUGGUGGGUACGUAAUCCACCUUCCCCUCAACGGGACGAAUAAUUUGCUGUGCUUGAACAUUACACCUUCGAGCUCCAUCCUGCUGGUCACUACAACAGUGUCUCACUGUACAAUUAAUGCUGCGCUCCCAGCAAUUGGUGUAGUAAGUCAGGAGAGACAGGCAAGUUCAGAGAAGUUUGAGCUGUCAGACACUAAGGCACAAAGGCCUUAACUCACCACAUGCGUGCGGAAUAAGUUACCCAGAAAUGCACCACCUGGAGCAUCUCAAUCCUAACAUGAAAUGGAAUUCAUAUAUAAAAGAUAAAAGUUCGUGUGGUUCCUGAGCCUGACUAUGACGUUACAGACAGCGUCGAUCACGGUCAGAGCUCAUCACUGUUUUCAUGGACUUCAGAGUUGCAGGAAAAAAAAGGCAACGUUUAUGUUUUGAUAGAACUGAAAAAGAAGGCAACUGCUACAAGCCAUUAAACACAUGUGUUUGAGAUGCAGUCAAACUUUAGUGAUUUAAGAGAUCGAUCUAUAAAGAGAUCUAAAGAUGAAGCAACAGACUAAGGACUUCACUCGAAAAUGGCCUGACAUGCAAAGGUCACAGUGCAUUUCAUUGCGAUUUACCAUCCCUGCAGCAUUGGUGAACACCAUUCUGGAAGCAGCCUUUGAAUCCUGAAGAUGCACAAACCCUGUUCUAAGCAGCUGUUUGUUACCACCAACCUGAGAUCAAACAGCAGCCAUAAGCAGGCAUAACAUCCAUUGUGGACAGUGACAUUUUAUGGACUGUGUUGUCUACUCACACUCUACCACAACGUGCAACAUAUCAUGCUUAUUCUAUUAAAACUGAGAAGUAUUGCAGAACUUGCAUAAAAGGAAGGGAGGACCCAGGAAUUUCUCCCUUCCAACUACAGACGCACACCUCCCAUUUACAUGAUUUUGUAAAUGAAUUUAUCUUAAGAAGAAAAAUAAAAAUACUUAAGAUAUUUGUGUUCA